AUUAUCCUCUUCUAGGUAUAUUUAAAUUCAUUAAAGUUAUAGCUAAAUCAUGAGAUGGGAAAUACGAAUAUUUUACCGUAAAUUGUAUUUGAUGUUGUUGUUGGCCCAUGGGCUGUUUGUUGGACUGUUUUGUGGGUUAUGUAAACAUAGUUAUGGACGGAAAUUAUGUUAUAUGACAUGAUUAUGAUAACACACAUAUGAAGUGUUCUUAAAAUGAUCAUUAUUUAAGUGAAUUGAGAUAAAAAAAAAUAAUUGAGGUUGUUGGGUAAUUAAUACGUGGACAUGCCCAUGUAUUUUAUGGAUAAGUGGCAGCAAGUUAAUCUUUUUGCAUGACAUAAAAUGAUAAUGUUGUUGUGUCAUAUUUAAGAGAUGUGUAUUAAAAUGAAUUAAUACCUAGUUACACGUGUAAAGUGGGGGGAGUGUAUCUAAAGGUUUUGCUUUAAUUUGCUGGACGUUUUUGGUAUAUAAAAAUUGGAAGUGAACAUGUUGCCUUGUAUUCUUAGACCUCCUUACUUCAGAUUUUUAACCAAAAAAAAGUGUGCAGCAACUUCCAUUUUGAUCUUCUCUACUUUAGCAAAAAAUUGUCUUAAGACAAAAUAGCAACAAUGUUUCUUUCCAGUAUAGUAGCAACAUUUUUCUAUUUUAAGAGAACCAACUUUUACUUCGUGAUGAAGCAAAGUCACGGGAAGUUUGACAGAGACCAGCAAAGGUACAAUCUGUCAUCUAAAAUCUUUUAUGAGCUCAAAUCAGCGUCCAAGGUAUGUCUUUGAUGAGAACUUACGAAUUGACGAUCAGAAGCCGGAUAUGCAUUAUUAUUGUUUGUUGGACUAUUUUGGAGUACGGUGUAUGGUAUUCUAUGGAUUGAAUUGGUAAAUUUGAUAUGAUUGUAGUUCUCGUGAUGUAUCAAGCGUAGAAAUCAUGUAAAUGUGUUACAGAUAUAUUGGACUUGUUAUUGUAAUUAGUAAAGCAGAUGGGGAUUUGUUGUUUCCUAAGUUAAUGAGCUUGUAGCUUGUUAUUGUUCACUGAGAUUGUUGGCUGCCUCAUAGAUGUUAAUAUGUCUAAAUGUAAGCUUGGGAAGGUAAAGGAAAAUAGAGGUGAUGCUAUUCAAGGUUGGUUAAAAUGUGUUUAACGUCCAUAAGCUGUCGAUAAGAGCUAUCGUGACGUUAGUAUCAUGUUCGUUGCUGCUGUAGAUUCCACUUGGAGGGAGACUCAGCUCGUGAGCCUAUGAAAAGAGUUGAUAUAAGGUACAGACGAUCGAUUUGCUGAUCCGCCCGCUUAGGAUCCUAUUCCGCUGUCUUGGAGUGCUCUUUUGUCCGGAGCCUAUAUUUUGGUACAGUCCUUUGCUAUUGUAUAUAUGUACGCUAUUCAGGGGCAUGACGGGGCCCUGUCCCGUCUUAUGAUUCUGUUAUGAUCUGUAGAGGUCUGUAGACAUACAUGUGGGUUCUGUAUAUGUUUUGGGUGAUAUGAUCUGUGAUAGCCUCAUCGGCUUCCACGUGCUAUAUUUGUUCACCUGUGAUAGUUAGUGACGCCAUUUGACCUCUGUAUUUAUAUAUAUAUUCUGCUAAUAUAA